UGAGUAAUGUCUGGGAAACUGCCUGAUGGAGGGGGAUAACUACUGGAAACGGUAGCUAAUACCGCAUAACGUCGCAAGACCAAAGUGGGGGACCUUCGGGCCUCAUGCCAUCAGAUGUGCCCAGAUGGGAUUAGCUAGUAAGGGGAGGUAAUGGCUCCCCUAGGCAACGAUCCUUACUUGGUUGGAAGAGGAUGACCAGCCACACUGGAACUGAGACACGGUCCAGACUCCUACGGGAGGCAGCAGUGGGGAAUAUUGCACAAUGGGCGCAAGCCUGAUGCAGCCAUGCCGCGUGUAUGAAGAAGGCCUUCGGGUUGUAAAGUACUUUCAGCGAGGAGGAAGGCAUUAAGGUUAAUAACCUUGGUGAUUGACGUUACUCGCAGAAGAAGCACCGGCUAACUCCGUGCCAGCAGCCGCGGUAAUACGGAGGGUGCAAGCGUUAAUCGGAAUUACUGGGCGUAAAGCGCACGCAGCGGUCUGUCAAGUCCGAUGUGAAAUCCCGGG
rnacentral:rRNA from 1 species